rnacentral:rRNA from 1 species
GUUUGUAACACCCGAAGUCGGUGAGGUAACCUUUUAGGAGCCAGCCGCCUAAGGUGGGAUAGAUGAUUGGGGUGAAGUCGUAACAAGGUAGCCGUAUCGGAAGGUGCGGCUGGAUCACCUCCUUUU